UACGAAGGGUGCAAACGUUGCUCGGAAUCAUUGGGCGUAAAGCGCACGUAGGCGGCCUUGUAAGUCGGAUGUGAAAUCCCACGGCUUAACCGUGGAAGUGCAUCCGAAACUGCGAGGCUCGAGUAUGGAAGAGGGUCGCAGAAUUCCCGGUGUAGAGGUGAAAUUCGUAGAUAUCGGGAGGAAUACCAGUGGCGAAGGCGGCGACCUGGGCCAAUACUGACGCUGAGGUGCGAAAGCGUGGGAAGCCAAACAGGG
rnacentral:rRNA from 1 species